UUGCAUUUCAGCGUUCUGCAUGUUAUAUUUAAGAUGUCGAUUUUCGACUGUGACACCAGAAGCGGUAUGAAAUAGAUACGUUGGACCCGGGGGCGGUACCCGGCACCUCCACCAAUUUUUUAGAAAAACAAAGAUGUUUUUCGGUUAUAUAAAAAAGAGUUUAUAAGUGUUUUGCUGCGCAGAUAUUUUUGAGCGAAGUUUACGCCCAAAAGUAAAUGAGCAAAAAAAUAUCAAGCAUGAAAAUGUUUAUAUAGUUUUUACUGGGGGUGAAAAGGUUAGACAGUGUAUAAUAAAGAUAUUUGCUGUGUUCGGUGAGAUACCACCGUUAUCGGUUCAAAAUAAAUAAACGCAAAUGAUAAUUUUGCACCAGUUGCAGUCGCAGCUUAAGCUUGCUAAAGCAACAAAUUCAAUUCUUUAGGUCUUGGUUGACUUAAAGUGAGGUUUGGGCCACCCAGCAACAGGACGG
rnacentral:tmRNA from 1 species